UACGUAGGGUGCAAGCGUUGUCCGGAAUUAUUGGGCGUAAAGGGCUCGUAGGCGGUCUGUUGCGUCAGGAGUGAAAACUCGGGGCUUAACCCCGAGCCUGCUUCUGAUACGGGCAGACUAGAGGUAUGCAGGGGAGAACGGAAUUCCUGGUGUAGGCGGAGAAAUGCGCAGAUAUCAGGAGGAACACCGGUGGCGAAGGCGGUUCUCUGGGCAUUACCUGACGCUGAGGAGCGAAAGUGUGGGGAGCGAACAGG
rnacentral:rRNA from 1 species